rnacentral:ncRNA from 2 species
AAACGUUCUCAGGGCGGGGUGCAAUUCCCCACCGGCGGUAAUUGCACGCAACGUGCAUAGCCCGCGAGCGCUUGGUGGUACACCACUUUUUGGGGUGUAGCGGCAAGGUCAGCAGACCCGGUGUGAUUCCGGGGCCGACGGUCAUAGUCCGGAUGAAGAGAGAACGGGA